rfam:Bacteroidetes bacterium RBG_13_46_8 RBG_13_scaffold_60284, whole genome shotgun sequence.
AAGCAUGUUGAGCAUGGUGAUCUGGCUCGUAAAUCUCAGGUUACAAACAAUAAGUGGCAAUACUAAUUUUGCUCUCGCUGCAUAAUCCAUUAGAUGGAUGAAAGCUUAAUCCCUGACCCUAGGUGGACAGGGACGGGAUAUCCCGCAGUAGUUUGUUCCGGGUCGGUUACUGCAUACGGGGUACCGUUCAGGCCAGGAUAGCUCAAAGGCUCUUUCCCGGGGCUGCGGCAAAUUUUCAGGGGAAUAAGGGGUUGAUCGGUUGCCUGUAACCAGUUUACCCCCGACAAUCAAGAACAGGAUAAGCAUGUAGAAN